rnacentral:miRNA from 1 species
GAGCUCCGAGAUGAAGGCAGUGUAAACAUCCUACACUCUCAGCUUUGGCAAGUAAAGAGGCUGGGAGAGGGGUGUUUGCGCUCUCUAGCUCGGAAAAGCAACGUCUGAGGAAAUG